UACAGAGGUCCCGAGCGUUGUUCGGAUUCAUUGGGCGUAAAGGGUGCGUAGGCGGCGGGGCAAGUCUGAUGUGAAAUCCCGGGGCUCAACCCCGGAACUGCAUUGGAUACUGCCUUGCUUGGAGUACUGGAGAGGAGACUGGAAUUUACGGUGUAGCAGUGAAAUGCGUAGAUAUCGUAAGGAAGGCCAGUGGCGAAGGCGAGUCUCUGGACAGUUACUGACGCUGAGGCACGAAGGCCAGGGGAGCAAACGGG
rnacentral:rRNA from 1 species